GUGGGUAGUUUGACUGGGGCGGUCUCCUCCUAAAGAGUAACGGAGGAGCACGAAGGUUGGCUAAUCCUGGUCGGACAUCAGGAGGUUAGUGCAAUGGCAUAAGCCAGCUUGACUGCGAGCGUGACGGCGCGAGCAGGUGCGAAAGCAGGUCAUAGUGAUCCGGUGGUUCUGAAUGGAAGGGCCAUCGCUCAACGGAUAAAAGGUACUCCGGGGAUAACAGGCUGAUACCGCCCAAGAGUUCAUAUCGACGGCGGUGUUUGGCACCUCGAUGUCGGCUCAUCACAUCCUGGGGCUGAAGUAGGUCCCAAGGGUAUGGCUGUUCGCCAUUUAAAGUGGUACGCGAGCUGGGUUUAGAACGUCGUGAGACAGUUCGGUCCCUAUCUGCCGUGGGCGCUGGAGAACUGAGGGGGGCUGCUCCUAGUACGAGAGGACCGGAGUGGACGCAUCACUGGUGUUCGGGUUGUCAUGCCAAUGGCACUGCCCGGUAGCUAAAUGCGGAAGAGAUAAGUGCUGAAAGCAUCUAAGCACGAAACUUGCCCCGAGAUGAGUUCUCCCUGAGACUUAAAGUCUCCUAAAGGAACGUUGAAGACGACGACGUUGAUAGGCCGG
rnacentral:rRNA from 1 species